rnacentral:lncRNA from 1 species
GCACGGACACGACUGGAAAGUCCGUUUUUCAAUCUUUCAAGAACCAUAACUCCUGAACGGUAAAAGUGAAAAUCGUCAUUAUUGAACUUGACCUCAUUUUAGUCAUCAGUAACAACAUAUAAAAAUUUAGGAAGCUUUGGUAGAACAGUUCAUGCAUAAAUGCACGGACACGACUGAAAACUCCAUUUUUCAAUCUUUCAAGAACCAUAACUCCUGAACGGUAAAAGUCAAAAUCGUCAUUAUUGAACUUGACCUUCAUUUAUUUGUCAGUAACAACAUAUCAAAAUUUUAAAAGCUUUGGUUGAACGGUUCAUGAGUUAAUGCACGGACAACAUUUGAUUGCCGCCCGCCCGCCCGACAGGCCGCCCGACGUACAUCCCCAA